rnacentral:rRNA from 1 species
GACGAACGCUGGCGGCGUGCUUAACACAUGCAAGUCGAACGGAAAGGCCCUGCUUUUGUGGGGUGCUCGAGUGGCGAACGGGUGAGUAACACGUGAGUAACCUGCCCUUAACUUUGGGAUAACUUCAGGAAACUGGGGCUAAUACCGGAUAGGAGCUCCUGCUGCAUGGUGGGGGUUGGAAAGUUUCGGCGGUUGGGGAUGGACUCGCGGCUUAUCAGCUUGUUGGUGGGGUAGUGGCUUACCUAGGCUUUGACGGGUAGCCGGCCUGAGAGGGUGACCGGCCACAUUGGGACUGAGAUACGGCCCAGACUCCUACGGGAGGCAGAAGUGGGGAAUAGUGCACAAUGGGCGGAAGCCUGAUGCAGCAACGCCGCGUGCGGGAUGACGGCCUUCGGGUUGUAAACCGCUUUCGCCUGUGACGAAGCGUGAGUGACGGUAAUGGGUAAAGAAGCACCGGCUAACUACGUG